GCCUGACUGAUGAAAAUAAAUCAGCUUGCUUCAAGUAUGCCUAUUCUUCAAGUAUGCCUAUUCUCCCCUCUUUAGAGAACAGAUCAUUUUGAUCUUUCUCUAAACCUUGUUUAUUCCAAAAGACAGAUUCUGGGUAUUUAAAAAAAAAAAUCUCAUAACCACUGAAGCGCUGGGCUGUCAUGUGUUGUAUGGUGAUAUUUAUCAGCUGAGUGACCUGGUGACUGGCAUGAAGUAUUGUAGGAUGCCCUAGUGUGAUAGUAGUAGCAGUUUCAACAGCCAUUGCACAUGCUAUCAAUGCUCUGAGACACGCCGGCAUACCCUGUACCGGAGCUCGAACUACUUUGGAAAAGAAUGCUAUGGGACGCAUACCGCCUCCUUGCUCUUGUGCACAGACCGCGGCCAUGGUUUUACAGUUGUCCCGAGCAUACAAAUGAAAUGGUUUACAAUACACAGGUAGUCCUAAAGCCUGGGCUUGCACAAUAACAACUGUAAGGGCAAUAUAUGCAGCUAGCAUGUCUGGUGACCAGCAGACAUUUUCAGGGCUGUCAGAACGUACAGCCUCCCUUAGGAUUGAGUCAUAAUGGGAGCAUUCAGGGAUCCAUGGUGGCAGUAAUUAAUCAUGCCGAGGAAGGUGAGCAACUCCUUCCGAGUAGUGGGUGUUGGAAUCCUCUGAAUGACCUCAAUACGUUUUGGACUCAAUUGUCUGGUGCCUAAAGCCAGAACAAAACCUAAGUAUUCAACCUUUGAUUUACACAAUUGCAUUUUGUGUUUAACAACCUUGUGACCUAUAGUUGCUGACAGUAUCCACAGUGCUUGCCUCAUAGCUAGGGCUACAUAACAACAAAUCAUCAACAUUUUGCAAAAAGGACGGAACCAUGACCGGUGGUCCAUGUUUUUUAGAGUAUGUUGGAGUACCAACGAAUAAACAGCUGGGGAAUCCACAUAGCCUUGGGUAAGCGUGUCCAGGUAAACUGACAGCCUUCAAAAAGUAAAAACCAUAAGUAGCUGUGUCUCUUGAUCAAUAGGUAUAGAAAAAAUGUAUUACUUAAAUCAAUGACAGUGAAGCAAGUGGCAUCAUGUGGAAUGGCUGUAAUGAGGGAUGUCACAUCAGGGACAAUGGGUGAAAUGGGCACAAUUAAACUAUUCAGGGCUCUAAAGUCCUGAACUAAGCGAUAUGCUGGCCAGUGGUGUUGGGAGUGGAUCUGGUGUUGUUCUUGCCUACAGGGCAUAUUUUGAGAAUUGUGGGGUUGGUGGGGUGUGUGGGGUUUGAUGGGGUUUCCUGGGGUGUGGACACUCAUUCCUCCAGUGGCCAUAUUGUCCACAGUUGAACCAAGUGUUCCUGUCUAUUCCUCCUUGGUUACCCCUGCCCCUAUAACCCUGAUUUCCCUGUCUCCAUCACCUUGCCCCUCUUUGACCACCCCUUCCACGGGCUUUAUGUGCUCCAUCCCAUCCUCGCUCUCAGCCUGUGUAGCUGGACAUAAUAUGUUGCAAUCCCUGAGCAUAAUAAGCAACCUUACUUUCCUAAAUCUUUUCUUAAUUCAAAACAACCUGCAUUUUCCUUUUCUAUAACCUUGGUAAGAAAAUCUGAGCUAUCCAAAUUGUCCCAGUCUGAAAUCAAUUGUUUCACAAGCAAAGAAUACUGUGGCAACAUAUUACCAAGGCAUGAUUGUAUUUUAAAGAUAUCUAUAUCAUCUCCAGACAUCAAACCUGCCUCAUCCUUCCAACACUUGUAAAAUUUCUUUACAAAAAUCAUAUUACCAAUCUC